rnacentral:lncRNA from 10 species
CUGGUUGAAAGAAUGAUAAAAUCACUGUUUAAUCCUCUGUAAAGUUUUGAUUAAUGGAUAAAGGAUUUAUGAGGCUAGUUGUAAGCUGCAGCCAAUCUGGUGUGCUUUGUUUGUCUUUCUGUUUGGUUCUGUUAUGAAGAGGAGUACCUUAGGAUGGACUGUGGGCCUAGUACUCUAUAAACCCACUGUUCAAGCCAGCCCAGCAAACUGGACACAAUUUGAGAAACUGGUUGUUUUGCCAAGGCUUUGACUGGAAGGACGUGCUUCUCUUUAAGGAAUCAAGCUUGACUUGCAGAGCCAAUAAAAGCCCCUUGGGAAAACUGGCCUCAUACCUUGUCUACACAGUUCGUGUACAGGGUUCUUAACCUGUGACUAACCCUGCUUGUACCUGUGAACCAACCAGCGAUCUCUGGCUGAAGCUCAGAAGAAACAAAUGAGUACUAAACUUCAAAUGGUGAGGCAAAUGGAACUGUGCAUGGAUGUGCCAUUCUUCCAGGUACUCUUUUUUUUUUUGAGACGGAGUCUCGCUCUGUUGCCCAGGCUGGAGGGCAGUGGCGUGAUCUCGGCUCACUGCAAGCUCCGCCUCCCAGGUUCACGCCAUUCUCCUGCCUCAGCCUCCCGAGUAGCUGGACUACAGGCGCCCGCCACCACGCCCGGCUAAUUUUUUGUAUUUUUAGUAGAGACGAGGUUUCACCGUGUUGGCUAGGAUGGUCUCGAUCUCCUCACCUCGUGAUCCGCCUGCCUCGGCCUCCCAAAGUGCUGGGAUUACAGGCGUGAGCCACCGUGCCCGGCCUCUUCCAGGUACUCUUAAAGCAACCUCAGGAGGAGCUCUAAUGGCUUUCUCCAAACAGCGCCCCCUGUCAGCAGGACACAGUUAAGAGUGGACAUCGUUCACUUUCCCCAACAGCAGUUGGGGUCUUCACUCCUGAAUGGGGGAAGGAAAGGAGUUAGCCAGCUUCCUUUAGACAGAAAGUAAGAGAAGGGUCCUCAAGGAACCUCCGACCUGCCCCACAAGUGUUUACACCAGAUGUUUUGUGCAGAUAAGGGAACUUGCACAGGGGGCUUGUUUAAACAUGCCCUCAGUGGAAAAUUCUGUUCCUUAACACAUACAUACACAGUUAGAGAAAUAAAUCAAUAUGGAGUGGCUCAGUCUAAGGGCUCACAUGUGCACUGGAAGGAUGGGGUGGAGCUGCCAGGAAUUCACUCACACCUUAAGCCCUAGCCCUGGUAUUCAACUGUGAAGGGGACAACUGGAAACCUGCUUUCAGGACCUCUCCCUUUGCUGAGAGCUUUCCUUUCGCUUAAUAAAUUCUACUCCAUUCACUCUUUGGUGUCCAUGUGCCUAAUUCUUCCCGGUCUUGAGGCAAUAACCUGGACCUAGCUGAGAUAAGGAGCAAAAAUCCUGCAACACUAUGACAUACAGAGGUAUCAAACUUGCACCUGUACCCUCUGAAUCUUAAAUAAAAGUUUAAAAAAUUUAAAAAUAAUAAAUUAAGUAAUUAAAUAUGCA